GGGUAUAGCUCAGUUGGUAGAGCGACGGUCUCCAAAACCGUAGGUCGCGGGUUCAAGUCCUGCUGCCC
rnacentral:tRNA from 1 species